CAGUCGCCGCGGGAAUACAGAGGGUGCGAGCGUUAAUCGGAUUUACUGGGCGUAAAGCGUGCGUAGGCGGCUUUUUAAGUCGGAUGUGAAAUCCCUGAGCUUAACUUAGGAAUUGCAUUCGAUACUGGGAAGCUAGAGUAUGGGAGAGGAUGGUAGAAUUCCAGGUGUAGCGGUGAAAUGCGUAGAGAUCUGGAGGAAUACCGAUGGCGAAGGCAGCCAUCUGGCCUAAUACUGACGCUGAGGUACGAAAGCAUGGGGAGCAAACAGGAUUAGAUACCCCGGUAGUCCCUGUCUCUUAUAU
rnacentral:rRNA from 1 species